rnacentral:rRNA from 1 species
GGGAAUAUUGGACAAUGGGCGAAAGCCUGAUCCAGCAAUGCCGCGUGAGUGAUGAAGGCCUUAGGGUUGUAAAGCUCUUUUACCCGGGAUGAUAAUGACAGUGCCGGGAGAAUAAGCCCCGGCUAACUCCGUGCCAGCAGCCGCGGUAAUACGGAGGGGGCUAGCGUUGUUCGGAAUUACUGGACGUAAAGCGUACGUAGGCGGCUUCGCAAGUCGGAGGUGAGAGCCCGGGGCUCAACUCCGGAACUGCCUUUGAGACUGCGUCGCUUGAUCACGGGAGAGGCGAGUGGAAUUCCGAGUGUAGAGGUGAAAUUCGUAGAUAUUCGGAAGAACACCAGUGGCGAAGGCGGCUCGCUGGACCGUAGAUGACGCUGAGGUACGAAAGCGUGGGGAGCAAAC